GUAUUCAAUCCAUGGUCUCCACCAUGUGACAUGUGUGUUGCUUCUGCCCAUCACCAGUGGAACCCUUAUAGCCUCUGCUGAGUAUAUCUCCUCCAUCUGGUCGUACCAUUGCGUGAGUGUCGGGGGUUGUGUUUGUUUCCACAUGGCAGGUAUGAGUGCCUUUGCUCCCUCGACAAUGUGUCUCAGAAUGGAUUUCUUUUAUUUCAAGAUUGGCCCCGGUGUGGAGUGUAACAGGGUUUGUUCCAUCAUCAGAGGCGUCAUUGUGCCCAUAAUUUCCUCAAUUUUGGUGUUGAUCGAGGCCCAGAACAGUGCUAUGACUGGGCAGUCCCACCAUAUCUGUCUUAGGGUCACCUCUCCUUCCUGGCACCUCCAGCAUGUGGUUGGUGUAGACGGGAAAAUCUUGUGUAUGAGUGCUGGGGUUUUAUACCAUUGCGAAAGGAGUUUAUAAUUGACUUCCUGGUACCGGGUACUUGCUGAGGAUUUAUGGUGUAGAAUAAGUAUUUUUUCCCAUUGGGUGAAAGUGAAAGAAGUUCCCGUGGUGCGUUCCCACUGCUGUUGGAACGUAUGUAUUUCAGAUCGGUCCCCUAUCAGGGUGAACUGGUAGAGGUAUCAGGUCAUCUUAUAGAGAGUAGUCUUGUUCAAAGGGUUUCGAAAGGCAUGAGGUCUCUGUGUAUGGCCGAUUUGUUUUCGAGUGAGUAGUAGAAGUAUCAUAGUUGCAUGUAUCUGAAUGUGUGUUAGGUGGGUUGGGUUGUUAGUCAAUUCCCGUAAGGGCUUUAGUCCUGUGUCAUCCAAGAUUUCGUGGAUAGGAAUGAAUUCCUGUGUGCUGAAGAAGCCCAAGGCUCUAGCCGUGAGGCCCCCUCCUUUCAGGGGGUUGUUGGUCAGCGGCACCAUUGGGCUCGGGGGCCGGGAAUGGUGUGGGGCCUUCCAUAUGGAGUGCCAUGUUUUUAAGGUGUGGGCUGCGGAGGACGUCUGAUCUGAGACCCCUGACAUGGGGCUCUGGGCCAACCACACAUCCGCGAGCAGGUGUGUGUCCCCAGUUGCCCUAUCCAGUGCGAUACAUUGCUUGUGGAGUGAACCGGAGUGCCAUUCUAAAAUGAGCUGUAAGGUAGAUGCGUGAUGGUAUUUCCGUAUGUCUGGGAGUGCUAGUCCACCCCAGUGUCGUGGCAGGCAUAGGAUUUCAUGUCUAAGGCGCGGUCGGGCACCAUUCCAUACACACUUUAUGACUGCUGAUUUUAAAGAUGAGAAGAAUGCCGUGGGUAGAGUCAUCGGCACCGUUUGAAACAG